rnacentral:rRNA from 1 species
UACGUAGGGUGCGAGCGUUGUCCGGAAUUAUUGGGCGUAAAGGGCUCGUAGGCGGUUUGUCGCGUCGGGAGUGAAAACACCGGGCUUAACUCGGUGCUUGCUUUCGAUACGGGCAGACUAGAGGCAUGCAGGGGAGAACGGAAUUCCAGGUGUAGCGGUGAAAUGCGUAGAUAUCUGGAGGAACACCGGUGGCGAAGGCGGCAUCCUGGACCGGCAUUGACGCUGAGGCGCGAAAGCCAGGGGAGCAAACGGG